AUCACAUCCAAGAUCAACUGUGCAGAUCCUCUAAGGGUAUGCAACCUCUCGGUCAUUGGCUUCACACACACCGAUUUUAAGGGAAUAAAUGUCGGAGGAAGACGUUGUUCCUUCAAAUACAUAAUGCAUUCCUUUCCUGUGCUUCCAUCUUCCACCACUACUGCAUACAUGAAUUUGCCCAUGGCAACAGUGACAGCAAGCUUGCAUUUCUUUUGUUAGGGCCGCCAAAGUUCAGUCAUGUGA
rnacentral:rRNA from 1 species